AUAAAAAUGGAAAAAAUACUAGUAAAGAACUUAGCAUGUUGCAAAAAUAAAAUGGCACCCCAAUUUGGUUGUACGGACAGAUACUAUAAAAAGAAAUAUAACAAAAAAUAUAGAUCAAAAUAUAAAUAUAAAAAACCAAGAAGAAGAUACUAUGUAAAAAACUAUAAAACUAAACGACCAUAUAGGCCAAAGAAAAAAUUAACAUAAUGUACUUGUUAUAAUUGUGGAAAAUUAG
rnacentral:lncRNA from 1 species